UCCGGCUCAUCACCGGCAGUCCACCCAGAGUCCCCGCCUCUACGCGCUGGCAACUGGGUGCAGGGGUUGCGCUCGUUACGGGACUUAACCCAACAUCUCACAACACGAGCUGACGACAGCCAUGCAGCACCUGUCUCACGGCUCCUCUCGGCACACCCGCAUCUCUGCAGGCUCCCGUGGAUGUCAAGGGCAGGUAAGGUUCUUCGCGUCGCGUCGAAUUAAACCACAUGCUCCACCGCUUGUGCGGGCCCCCGUCAAUUCCUUUGAGUUUUAGCCUUGCGGCCGUACUCCCCAGGCGGGGGACUUAUCGCGUUAGCUUCGAUACCAACAGGCUAGGCCUGCCAACAUCCAGUCCCCAUCGUUUACAGCGUGGACUAC
rnacentral:misc_RNA from 1 species